rnacentral:rRNA from 1 species
AGUGGAUGGGGAGCAACCUAGUUGUGCGUGUGUAAAGGUAGUGCCAAGAAAAGCGAUGAUCAUGUUGAAAAUCAAUUCCCGGUACCCGAAACCGACACAGGUGGGCAAGUAGAGAAUACUAAGGGGCGCGAGGUAACUCUCUCCAAGGAACUCGGCAAAAUGACCCCGUAACUUAGGGAGAAGGGGUGCCACCGAGAGGUGGUCGCAGUGAAGAGGCCCAGGCGACUGUUUAGCAAAAACAUAGGUCUCUGCAAACUCGAAAGAGGAGGUAUAGGGGCUGACGCCUGCCCAGUGCCGGAAGGUUAAAGAAGUUGGUCAGUUUUAGGAUGAAGCUAGCGACUGAAGCCCCGGUGAACGGCGGCCGUAACUAUAACGGUCCUAAGGUAGCGAAAUUCCUUGUCGGGUAAGUUCCGACCCGCACGAAAGGCGUAACGAUCUGGGCGCUGUCUCGGAGAGAGGCUCGGCGAAAUAGGAUUGUCUGUGAAGAUACGGACUACCUGCAUUUGGACAGAAAGACCCUAUGAAGCUUUACUAUAGCUUGGAAUUGUGUUCGGGCUUCCUGUGCGCAGGAUAGGUGGGAGGCGUAGAAGGUAUUCUUGUGGGGAUACUGGAGCCAACGGUGAGAUACCACUCUCAGGAGGCUAGAAUUCUAACUUAAUUAAGGACAGUUUCAGGUGGGUAGUUUGACUGGGGCGGUCGCCUCCAAAAAGGUAACGGAGGCGUACAAAGGUUCCCUCAGACUGGUUGGAAAUCAGUCGAAGAGUGCAAAGGCAGAAGGGAGCUUGACUGCGAGAAGUACAGUUCGAGCAGGGUGGAAACACGGUCUUAGUGAUCCGACGGUGCUGUGUGGAAGGGCCGUCGCUCAACGGAUAAAAGUUACUCUAGGAUAACAGGCUGAUCUCCCCCAAGAGUUCACAUCGACGGGGAGGUUUGGCACCUCGAUGUCGGCUCAUCGCAACCUGGGGCGGAAGUACGUCCCAAGGGUUGGGCUGUUCGCCCAUUAAAGCGGUACGUGAGCUGGGUUCAGAACGUCGUGAGACAGUUCGGUCCAUAUCCGAUGUAGGCGUGAGAAUAUUGAGAGGAGCCUUCCUUAGUACGAGAGGACCGGGAAGGACGCACCGCUGGUGUACCUGUUAUGAUGCCAAUUGUAAACGCAGGGUAGCCAAGUGCGGAGAGGAUAACCGCUGAAAGCAUCUAAGUGGGAAGCCCACCUCAAGAUGAGUAUUCUGGUGUAAGGUCACGGGAAGACGACCCGUAAAUAGGCACGAGGUGGAAGUGCAGAGAUGUAUGAAGCCGAAGUGUACUAAUAGACCGUCGGCUUGACCA